CCCAGUCUGUGUAUAUUUCUGAACUUGCCAAAUUGCAUGAACAGAAGCUCAGUAAUGCAGGAAAUGGUGAAUAGAUCAUUAUUGUGGGAUCAGUAAAUUCACUACUGGAAAGAAAAAGCAAGUAGUGAUGAAGCAGAAGUAGAAAAAAACCUUUCAAAUGGAAGCAAUAGACUUGGACACUUGACUUACAAAUCUGGAGUUUGGGUACGCAGAAACUUUGAUAAGAAUUUCUCCUAUUGUAUGCCAAAGCUGGGAGCCCUAGCAAAACAGGACAGUCCAGGAGCCAAACCAGGGUUAAAAGCAAAUCCCAGACAAAGGAGAUGCCAAAGUCAAAGCCAGAGGACCGAUUUUUAAAGCAGGAGUAAGAAUCUGCUCUGCACAUGUAUUCAAUCCAUAAUGGACAUGAGGCUCAUAAAAAAAAUCUUUAACAUUUUGGAAACAAGACAGCAGAGAAAGGAAAUGGAAAAAGAAAAAGAAGGAUGAAGAAACUGCUCUUUUUCAUAAAUGUGUUUUGCAUUCUGUAUUUGAAUAUAAAAUAAGUAACUAGGCAACUGUAUUUAUAGCUUUAUAAUUUAUACUGGGUUACAGUUCCAUGAGUGACAUCACUAACUG
rnacentral:lncRNA from 1 species